rnacentral:tRNA from 1 species
GCCCUCGUAGCUCAGGGGAUAGAGCACCGGCCUCCGGAGCCGGGAGCGUAGGUUCGAAUCCUACCGGGGGUACCA